UCAGGAUUUCCGUCACCUUUAGAGAACUUUUAGGGAAUGGUGUGCAAAGUCACGAGAAUGUCCCCUCCUACGUGGGAUGGACAUUCAUCUGCACUUACUCAGUGUCUCAGUAUUCAGAGUAAAAAUAAAACUACUGAACUAACUAAAAAUAACAUUAGUGAGAAUGUAAAUGAUCAUUCUGUAACUAGUGUAUAUUAGUUUGUCUGUUGUAAAUCCUGCCAACUUGUUUGCAUUGUCACACAUGCUUCAGUGCUCUGAGAGUGUUUAUAAUGCUGUGAGUUUAACACUUCAUGACUGAGAGCAGAACAGAACACAAUCUUCAUCAUCACACAAGACAAAAGAACAACAAUGAACACAAUCACCUUCUUCAUCUGGACUCUCACACUGUUUGCUCAAGAGUGUAGAGGACAGUACACUGUAACUCAGAGUCCAUCAAUAACAGUUCAACCAGGACAAGAAGUCAGAAUCAACUGUAAAACCAGCAGUGGAGUGGAUAAUGGUGAUUACUUACCAUGGUACUUACAGAAACCUACAGAAGCUCCUAAACUCCUCAUAUACAAUGCAACAACCCGUUAUACUGUAACUCCAUCUAGAUUCAGUAGCAUUGGAUCUGGCAGUGAUUUCACUCUGACCAUCAGUGGAGUCCAGACUGAAGAUACAGGAGAUUAUUACUGUCAGAGUUUACACAGCAUCAACAGUAAAUGGGUGUUCACACAGUGAUAAAGAGUGGUACAAAAACCUGUUGUGGCAAACAAAAUCAACUCCGACUCUACUGCAUAAGAGACAAACAUGUCCAAUUGUCUUUAAAGCUUUUAUUUCUUGCAAGAAAGGUCAGACAGGUCAUACAGAAACACAAGUAGCUGCAGAGUGUAAGACCCAGAACGAAAGUUUCCCCUCACUUUUAUAUCUCUAACCUCCAAGGCCGAAGCCUCUGUCCUUUUACCAUAUUUGGAACAUCUCUUAGUGGCUGUAACUUUCCACACAUUGUUAGCACAGACAUGUUUUUUAACAUACAUCUUGCAUGUCCCCAUACCAUAUCUUGCUCUUUCUAUUUCUAGCAUCUAUGUUAACACUAUGUUAAACAUUACCAAUGAAGCCAGCAUCAUAUCAUGUUCCAUAAGCAUCAUAUUUCACAAGAAUACAGGUUAAAGCAUAUGAAAAAUUAAAAUUUCCACAACAAUUCCCUCUUCUUAUCAUUCAUUGAUAACUAAUGAUUACUUCUACUUCAU